ensembl:lncRNA
CACUCAAUUAUACACUGAAAAAAAGGGACUGGCCAUCUCUUGGAUUUAUGUGAAGUAAGUCAAUAAGAUAGCAACGUUAAAUCUCGUGAAACCACGCGUGAUUUCAUCUCGCGGGCUUUGGAUCGUGGUUUAAAAAAUGCAUCCAUCUCAGUCAAGUCGAGCAGCCAACUCUACGUUUUUUGGAGUCAGCUGAUGGAUUGUGGGUUCAAGGUGUUAUGAUGAAAUGCAGCAUUCCACUGCAUCCCAACCAUGCCUUUACAGGUUUCUGACGGAGCUGAGUUUCUCUCUGACAGUCUGCUGAAAGUGUUUGCAAAGUGAUCGGGGGAACAGGGCACAAAGCUAAAGGAUGUAGCUGCCAUGAUGACAGAUGACAUUAAUGCUCGAAGGGAGUCUCAUCAAAGUGCUCCGCAUCUGUGUGAAAGACAAUUGCAACAUCUUGGUGCAGGAGUUCAUGGACUUGACUGAGGCCACUGCACAGAUUGAGAAAACCACAAUGAACAUCUGUCUCCAGAGGAUGCGGCAGGCAAUGACUUUUCUGACGUUGGCAUCAUCAUCGAGUUUAUAGUAGUUCUUCAAGAUCUGGAUAACGUGACCUUUGCAGUAGCCAUGCUGUUUGGACCUUUUUUAUUCCUUCAAUAUGAGUUACCCAUCACAACUCUGCUACACUUUUGAGGUGAUUCAAAGGGUGGUAAUGGAGUUGGAUGCAACUCAGCUCUCAAGAAAAGCUCACAACUAAGACAAAACUGCUCCUGCAACGAAGCUCACUGUUAUGCAUGUGAGGUGACCAGCUCUAGGUGAGAAGACAUUUAAAUCUCACACUUGUUCUGCUGCAUUUUUGAAGCUCAAUUCCAGGAACAGAUCGCAGGGUUCAUUUUUAUAUACACUGCAACUGCCAUGAGGACGAGCCGUUUUUUUGUUGUUGUUGUUGUUUGUUUUUCCUUUUGCUCUGUACAAGUUCUGUUUGUCUGUUUGGCAGCAUUUUUAAAUUUCUCUUUGUAUUUUUUCUUUCUUUUACUAGUGAAGAGAUGUAGCAUGAACAGUUAUGCAGUCUAAAUAUCCCAUAUGGGCUGUGUGAAAUGGUAUUUUCAGUUUCAUUCAGUUGAAGUAAAGAACGUUGAAUAUUUCUAAGCUUGCUGUUUUGAACCAAGAUGUCACAGUAUGAUCAGUGCUGUAAUUUUUGACAGUCACUGUAUCAAUGUUAUUUUUUGCGUCUCUUGAAUAAAGGUUUUGACCUGCAAGUGCUAAUUUCUUUAGUUAUUGGGGUAAAAUGGGUAAUGUUAAUAGGAAGGUGUUUGCCAAUUCAGUAACCUAAUUUAAUGUUAAUGGAAACUAACAUUACCUCAAAUUGUUUAGUUAUAAUUGUUGUUUAACUGAAUCUUGACGUCAGAGGCCUUAAAUAGAAUGUUUUGUAUUGUUCUUUCCCAACAUUUUUCAAAAGAAAGAGUCUAAUUUCUUUGCUGUGAUUGAUUCCAGAGAACACGGAAGAACUGACAUUAUUUAACUGUUGGUUUAUAUAGAUUCAGUAGUGGAGUAAUGUCAGUUUAAUUCUUUACCUACUGUCAAUGCAGUGAAAUUAGACAUUUUGUUUUGAAAGGUUACUGGUGGAUGCCAGCAACCAUCUUGGAAGAGAACAAUAUAAUCUGUUAUAAGGCCUCCAUUUGAAAAUUGUGUAUUUGAUACUAGAAUAUAAUAGCAAAAUGUAAUUUGAAGAUAACAUGUAGUAUUUAAGUGACCAAGUAGUAUUGGGUAAAAGUUAUUGAAUGGUGUUGGGAUAAAGUGAGAAAAUUGUGAAGGAUUAAAAUAUUUCAAGAGCUCAAAUUACU